rnacentral:misc_RNA from 1 species
UCAUCUUCCUCGCUGCUGCGCUCGUGCCCACACGGAGCAUCAGUUCUGGCGCAGCAGAAGCAGCCAUCCUCGCCCAGGCUUUGCUCGGCCUCCUCUCCAUCUCUCUGCGUCGGCCUCUCCUGCCUGCUGCUCGGUCCCAAGCUCCCUGUGCGCGCGGUACUCUUCCUUCCCAUGUUACUGCGCGCUCUACCUUUCUUCCCAUCUCCCUGCGCUCGCCGCGGCUCCCUGCUGCACUGCAGCUCGCCGCGCGGCUCUCAUGGCGUGCUCCUCUCUGCCGAGCGGCUCUUCCCCACGAUGCCGUCGAAUCCCGUCUUCCUCUGCUCGCGCGGGCCGCGCCCCUGCUUCCCCUCCUUAGCCGAGCUCGCCGGCCGGCCGCUCGCCCCUGUGCCUUCGCUCAGCUCGCCAUGGAGGUUGUCCGCCAUGGUACUCUGCAUCCCGAGCUCCCGUGCUCGCGCGGCUUCCUGCUCGUCGGUGCUUAGACUGAAGCUCGCCCGGCGCGCCCAUCUCUCUGUCUCCCCAACGCUCGCCAUCGUCUCCUGUCUGGUCGCGCCCUGCUCCGCCGUCGUGUUCUAGCCGCGCGUGCUCUGGUGGCCGUCGUGCUGAUCGCCGGCUGAAACCCCUUUAGUGCCUGACACUGCAUCUCCCUGGUGUUCGCCUCUGUUUUCCCCUGGCGCCGAGCCCCUCCACCCUGUCCUAGCAGCAAAAGCCCAGCCACUGCGCAAGCUACCUGCUCGAUAGAAUGUUCAGCCGCUCGUCAGAUCUGCGCAGUCCCUGCACGAUGUCGCAAAAUCCGCUCGUUGUCGAUGCCGCGCUUCGUGCAUCGUGUGUUCGACGAAAAUCUCCAGCAUGUGGACAGCACACGCCACGUGGGUUACAGCAUCAGGUACGAUCCAGUGGUAAGAAUUCGUCAUGACGUCGUGUGGCUAGGAGAUGGGAGGUAGGUCAGUCUUCGGGCAGAUCCGAUGGUGUAACAGCAAGGCUCGUACGACACUCGUCUGAUGCUCGACAAGAAGCCUGAUUCGGGGGUGGCUACCCCGUCUUCUUCGUCGUAUGGGAGUCAUCGUGCUUCCGACUAUCUCGUCGAAUUAGUCAGGGUACGUUUAUUGACUACGUGAUGUGGAGAACCAAAGCGAAGUCGACCACAAGAUGUCGUUGCGCGUGAGCUUCUCCACAAGAUGAUGCUGAUGAACGAACCUGAAGAUGGAUACUCUGAAAGAGUGCCAAGACAAAGGAUGAUCGUCAAGUGGACGCCAUCUAACAAACACUAACCUAGUGUUUAUUCCAGGUUCUAACUUUGUGCUAUUGUUGAUGGUGUUAAGUGCCGGUGGGCUCGGCCUUCUUAUAAGUCUA